rnacentral:rRNA from 1 species
UCGAGCGGCAGCGGAAAGUAGCUUGCUACUUUGCCGGCGAGCGGCGGACGGGUGAGUAAUGUCUGGGAAACUGCCUGAUGGAGGGGGAUAACUACUGGAAACGGUAGCUAAUACCGCAUAACGUCGCAAGACCAAAGAGGGGGACCUUCGGGCCUCUUGCCAUCAGAUGUGCCCAGAUGGGAUUAGCUAGUAGGUGGGGUAACGGCUCACCUAGGCGACGAUCCCUAGCUGGUCUGAGAGGAUGACCAGCCACACUGGAACUGAGACACGGUCCAGACUCCUACGGGAGGCAGCAGUGGGGAAUAUUGCACAAUGGGCGCAAGCCUGAUGCAGCCAUGCCGCGUGUAUGAAGAAGGCCUUCGGGUUGUAAAGUACUUUCAGCGGGGAGGAAGGUGUUGAGGUUAAUAACCUCAGCGAUUGACGUUACCCGCAGAAGAAGCACCGGCUAACUCCGUGCCAGCAGCCGCGGUAAUACGGAGGGUGCAAGCGUUAAUCGGAAUUACUGGGCGUAAAGCGCACGCAGGCGGUCUGUCAAGUCGGAUGUGAAAUCCCCGGGCUCAACCUGGGAACUGCAUUCGAAACUGGCAGGCUAGAGUCUUGUAGAGGGGGGUAGAAUUCCAGGUGUAGCGGUGAAAUGCGUAGAGAUCUGGAGGAAUACCGGUGGCGAAGGCGGCCCCCUGGACAAAGACUGACGCUCAUGUGCGAAAGCGUGGGGAGCACACAGGAUUAGAUACCCUGGUAGUCCACGCCGUACACGAUGUCGACUUGGAGGUUGUGCCCUUGAGGCGUGGCUUCCGGAGCUAACGCGUUAAGUCGACCGCCUGGGGAGUACGGCCGCAGGGUUAAAACUCAUAUGAAUUGACGGGGGCCCGCA